rnacentral:rRNA from 1 species
CGACGGCAGCACGGGAGCAAUCCUGGUGGCGAGUGGCGAACGGGUGAGUAAUGUAUCGGAACGUACCUUUCAGUGGGGGAUAACGUAGCGAAAGUUACGCUAAUACCGCAUAUUCUGUGAGCAGGAAAGCAGGGGAUCGCAAGACCUUGCGCUGAUUGAGCGGCCGAUAUCAGAUUAGCUAGUUGGUGGGGUAAAAGCCCACCAAGGCGACGAUCUGUAGCUGGUCUGAGAGGACGACCAGCCACACUGGAACUGAGACACGGUCCAGACUCCUACGGGAGGCAGCAGUGGGGAAUUUUGGACAAUGGGCGCAAGCCUGAUCCAGCAAUGCCGCGUGCAGGACGAAGGCCUUCGGGUUGUAAACUGCUUUUGUACGGAACGAAAAAGUCUGCCCUAAUACGGUGGGCUCAUGACGGUACCGUAAGAAUAAGCACCGGCUAACUACGUGCCAGCAGCCGCGGUAAUACGUAGGGUGCAAGCGUUAAUCGGAAUUACUGGGCGUAAAGCGUGCGCAGGCGGUUUUGUAAGACAGAUGUGAAAUCCCCGGGCUCAACCUGGGACCUGCAUUUGUGACUGCAAAGCUAGAGUACGGCAGAGGGGGAUGGAAUUCCGCGUGUAGCAGUGAAAUGCGUAGAGAUGUGGAGGAACACCGAUGGCGAAGGCAGCCCCCUGGGCCAAUACUGACGCUCAUGCAC